AAACCAACCGGGAUUGCCUUAGUAACGGCGAGUGAAGCGGCAAAAGCUCAAAUUUGAAAUCUGGUACCUUCGGUGCCCGAGUUGUAAUUUGGAGAGGGCAACUUUGGGGCCGUUCCUCGUCUAUGUUCCUCGGAACAGGACGUCAUAGAGGGUGAGAAUCCCGUG
rnacentral:rRNA from 1 species